GGGCGAGGUAUCUGUAAGCAGCAGCAGCCAAACAGCUGAACUGAAGAGCUCUCAGAGCAGAUAAGCAGACAAUAUAAGCAGGAAAAUGCAGGACAAUGUAGCACUUUAAAGACUAACAAGAUGGUUUAUUAGAUGAUGAGCUUUCGUGGGCCAGACCCACUUCCUCAGAUCAAAAUCUAAGCAGGGAAUAAGAGGCUGGAGGAGCGAGUUACAUAACUGUCAAGAAGCAUUAUAUGUCUGAAGAGAGUGGAAAGUGGAGAUUCCUUCCUGUGACAUGUCCUAUACUUGAUACUGCUUGAGGUGCCCUCCCUGGUAAUACAACAUGAUUAAACAAUUAAACACUAGUUCCUGCAAAAUAUUCAAAAGAAGUCUUCGGAGGAUCCUCCAUAUUUUUUGGCCAAGAAUAAUUUCAAAUCAGGACCUGCUUGUGCGGUGUAAACAAGAUGACAUGGCUGCCAUCAUUAUGAAAAGAUGCUGGAGGUGGAUUAGGCACAUGCUCAGGAAAGAUGGAAGCUCCAUCACAGAGACUACUGUGCACUGGACCCCUGAAGGGAAGCAGAAACAAGGACAACCCAAGACAACAUGGUGACAGACUAUUGAAGUAGAAAUGAAGAGCAUGAAUUACACUUGGGGCACUAUUGAGAGGCUGGCCAGAGACAGACCGAAGUAGAGGACCUUUGUUGCUGCCCUAUACGCCAGUGGGCUUGAAGGACGAUGAUGAAAUUUGUAACCUACUUUGCUCUGCCUGUACUCACUUAUAACCACUUAAAACCUACUGCCUGUGCUUAAUAAAGUCACUUUCAUUUAAUAUGAAG